UACGGAGGGGGCUAGCGUUGUUCGGAAUUACUGGGCGUAAAGCGCACGUAGGCGGCUUUGUAAGUUAGAGGUGAAAGCCCGGGGGCUCAACUCCGGAACUGCCUUUAAGACUGCAUCGCUUGAAUCAUGGAGAGGUCAGUGGAAUUCCGAGUGUAGAGGUGAAAUUCGUAGAUAUUCGCAAGAACACCAGUGGCGAAGGCGGCUCACUGGCCCGGUACUGACGCUGAGGUGCGAAAGCGUGGGGAGCAAACAGG
rnacentral:rRNA from 1 species